rnacentral:lncRNA from 1 species
AUGGAAGGCCAUGAUCCUCAGGAAGCAGAGAAGCUAAGGAAGCUCUUUAUUGUUGAUCUGAGCUUUGAAACUACAGUUGAUAGCUUAAGAGAACUUUCUGACAAAUGGAGCACACUUACAGACUGUAUGGUAAUGAGAAAUGCCCAAAUAAAAUGUUCCAGGGCCUCUGAUUUUGUGACCUCUUCUUGAGUGGAAGAGGUGGAUGCUGCAAUGUGUCCUUGGCCACACAAGGUUGAUGGGCGUGUGGUGGAACAAAGAGAGCUCUUUCUAGAGAGGCUUCUGUAAAGUUUGGAUCCCAUGUAAUGGUGAAAAAAAUUGUGUUGGUGGUAUUAAAGAAGAUAAGGAAGAAUAUAAUCAGAGAGACUACUUUGAAUAAACAGUAUGGCAAGAUUGAAAACAUAGAAGAUAUGGAAGAAGGCAGAGUGAAUUUGCUUUUGUAACUUUUGAUGAUCUAUGGUGGUGAUGGGAGAUAUAGUGACGUUGGAAAUUAGAGUGGACAGAAAGCACCAAAUUAUGGACCCAUGGAGGGGGGCAGU